GAGGCUAUAUUUUCAGGGAUCAUUUCUACAGUUAGUGACUAGAGAAGUUUCUCUGAUCUUGUAGAGUCCCAGAAACCAUGAGGAGGAGGAGGCAUAGUGUUCCUUCCUGAGCGUGAAGCUGGCUCUUGGUGUUACUUUGCUGUGGCUGCUACUUGCCAUUGAUGAUCGUUCUUGCUCUCUCCCUGGAGAGAGUAAGGGGGAAGGAAUGCAGUCUAAGUGGC
ensembl:snoRNA U3 Small nucleolar RNA U3